GACGUAGGGUGCGAUCGUUGUCCGGAUUUAUUGGGCGUAAAGAGCUCGUAGGCGGCUCGUCGCGUCGACCGUGAAAACCCGCGGCUUAACUGCGGGCUUGCGGUUGAUACGGGCGGGCUAGAGUUCGGCAGGGGAGACUGGAAUUCCUGGUGUAGCGGUGAAAUGCGCAGAUAUCAGGAGGAACACCGGUGGCGAAGGCGGGUCUCUGGGCCGAUACUGACGCUGAGGAGCGAAAGCGUGGGGAGCGAACAGG
rnacentral:rRNA from 1 species